rnacentral:other from 1 species
AUCUCCCUGGGGAGUUCGUGAUUGAGGAACGAUUUUUGAGCCAACACUUCCAAAACGGGAGCGGCUUUCAGACCAGCCCGUGCGCAGACCCGCUCGACCGGGGAGCCUGACGGCAGGCACAGUUGCACCCACCUUGCACAUGCAAGGUUCAAAAGAGUUCCCGACACGGCGCCCCGGGGUAGAU